CUUCGCAAUUCCUAGCGCCGGAGAGUAACGUCAGUGGCAACACUUCUUCUCCUGCCCCAGACCACACCAUUAUGCAUCUUGUACGUUACGUGGCGGAGACUGCAUGCAACAUGGCGCUCCCUCAUGCCAUCGCACAAGCCUUGUGUUUGAGGCUGAUUUGGUGAGAAGCAUGUGUCUGCAGACUCGAAGACCGCAGUUUCAGACCUGCAGUUCUCUUCUCUUCCACGACAGCGCCAUCGAUUUCCUUGUCCGAGUCAACUUGGAUGACGAACGGAAAGGAACAGUGGGCUGCCACUGUGCAGCGCCCAGGGAGCUUUCUGGGGCUAAGGGUCUUGCUUAAGGACCCAACGACUGAGACAGAUGGAACGACGGUUCGAACGGACAACCCACCGGUUACAUGACGAACUCUUACAACCUGAGCCAGAGUUGCCUCUACUGAUUUGAUGUCUUGGUAUUCUCUCCAUGAGCUUCAUUAGGUGGUCACCUGAACUGGUUUUCCAAACAACCUUGAAAGAACUUCCCAGAGACUCAUUGAGAGACGACCAAAGUUGUAUAUAACUGACCAGAACGGAAAAACCUUGCCCAUAUUGGAUAGAUGCAGGACCUGCUGCACAAACUUUCACUGUCCCUUUUGCAGUUCAAGUUUAUUUAACCCCACACAGUUGGGUCUGAACAGCAACUGGGCAAACACAAGGAAGCCUGUUGGCUGCAGGAAUGAAGGAUCUUCAAAAUCUCUGUGUCAAAAUACUGCAUUGAACAGGGAGAAGCCGUCCACCACUGUGUUCCGAUCCAUCAAGGCGCCAUGAAGCAGAUGACCUGAGAAUGCUCAAUCUCUCCAUCACCUCCCUCUGGCUCCAUCAGGGACACACAUCUGAAGUCAUGUUUGAAUUUUAUGAAGUAAUGAUGUUAUUAUAAUACAAAGUUAAUCAGGACUUGUAUUAGCUGUGGGUGUGACUACAUGUAAUAGAUGUGUAUACAAGUAUUAUUAAAA